AACAUGACACGACAUAUAUUAUUUAGGUGUUUGCAGAGAGGCUGACACACAAACACACACAAUUUAUCAACAGUCUUUUUUUUUUUUUUUUUUUCAUGGUGUUCUGAGCCCCAAGCCUCCAAGAUGUGGAAUUAAUUUCAUAGCAGGUGAUUCUAGACCAUUUCACAUGGGCCAUCUGUCGCUUCUUCAUUUACCUCUCUGCUGUUGCAAUAAUUAAUCAUUUCAGGCACUGGCUUGGCCCAGAGAGUCUGCUCUGGAUGAGACACUACAAGAGGGGGAACGCUGGAUUUCUAGCUCCCGAGGCAUGUUCCUAUGAAGCAGCUCCAGAAACUUUUGGAUUCGGCAUCAGUUUCGAGUGGAAGAAUCUGUCUUUUGCUGAAGUUCAUGUGUUUGAAAAUCGUGACCGCGUUGGUUACCGCUGUGAUCUGACCUCUGUGUCAACAUUUAGCUGACUAGGAUGGCGGUCUGCUGGCGGGCCUGGUGUUGCACGGAAACCAGGAGGAACAACACCCUGAAACCAGCCGUCGUCAGUGCUGGUUAAGGCUGAGAUGUGAGGUGUCCCCAGAGCUCAACGUAAGAAAGUCCAGAGGUGGAAUCUGGGUCAGGAGAGCCUUAACCCAAUCAGUGCACUGGUCCCCUGAUAGGGAUGCCGUGGGUGGGACUGCAGGCUGGUGGGGUGGCUGGAGGAGGUGGGUCCCUGGGGUUUUUGACUUUUCUGACUUUGGGGUUUUUGCUCAGUCUGUGGUGGGGGGAAGAGUCUCUCUGCUUCCUGUUACCAUGUCCUGAGCUGCUUUCCUCCACCAUUUCCUUCCACCAUGAUGUUCUGCCACAUCUCCAGCCUUGAGAAAUGGAGUCUGCCCUCUAUGGACUGAGCCAUCUGAAAUCGUGAGCCCCAAAUAAACUUUUCCUCCUUAAGAUUGUUCUUUUUAGGUCUUUUGGUCACAGCGGCAGAAAAGCUGACUUAAACAGUACUGUAAUACCAACGCUUUCCAGGCCCCUCAGUAGGUAAUAUUCUUACGUGGCAUGUAAAUCCUGCCACAGGGAAGGUCACGGUUGUUGGGAAUCAGCUUGACCAAAGAGUGCCCAUGAGCGCAUGGCCAUGAGGUCAGACUGGCUUUGAAUUGGCUUCUUAAUAUCUGUGAACUUUGUAGUUAGCUCUUCUGUGCUUCAUUUUACACAACUGGGAAAUAAAGAGAUGAGCAAUA